rnacentral:rRNA from 1 species
CAAUAGCGUAUAUUUAAGUUGCUGCAGUUAAAAAGCUCGUAGUUGGAUUUCGGGUGGGAAUGGCCGGUCCGCCGUUUCGGUGUGCACUUGCUACGCCCACCUUGCUGCCGGGGACGUGCUCUUGAGUUCACGCUCGGGACACGGAGUCGGCGAGGUUACUUUGAGUAAAUUAGAGUGUUCAAAGCAGGCCUACGCUAUGAAUACAUUAGCAUGGAAUAACACGAUAGGACUCUGGCCUAUCUUGUUGGUCUGUAGGACCGGAGUAAUGAUUAAGAGGGACAGUCGGGGGCAUUCGUAUUUCAUUGUCAGAGGUGAAAUUCUUGGAUUUAUGAAAGACGAACUACUGCGAAAGCAUUUGCCAAGGAUGUUUUCAUUAA